UGCUUCUUGGAGUUUUGAGGGCGUUUCUGCGUCCACAUCGCCAAGCUCCACAGUAUCACCAGGCCCUACAAAAAUCCAAAACCAGGAUGGCCUCCUCUCCACUUCUCCAAUUAGGGUCUUUUAAGAGUGUAUUAAGAGUCCCAUAUUCAGAAACCUGAAAUUUUCAAUUGGGGUGGUUUUUUAUGGGUCCAAAUCGAUGAUGAGUUUUGCCCAGAAAUGUGUUUUAGCAGAAGAGAGUGGUAGUUACUUCAAAUUUGUAACUUUUGGUUUGCGCUUUGUUUGUUUUGUUUUGCAUCUUUUGGUUGGCGAUUGUGAAGUGUCAAAUUUGUCAUUGUUUCCUGCAAUUUAGAUUUGGACCAAGAAUAAGUUGAAGCCUAUUAACCUUAUUGUUGUUAAUCAUGUUGGUAUGCCUUGUUGGUCAAUUACCCUGUUGCUAAAACUUUUGAGUUAAAUUUGUAGUUUAAAUCCAUGUGUUGAAUCCUUGGCUUUUGAGAGGUCUAGUUUGAAUCUCACCACUUAUUUAUUCCCUUUGUAUUGAAUCGAUGUGGGAGAGAAACAGAGAAUCCAUGGAGGCUAGUGUUAAGGCAAUUAUCACAACUAUUAAGCUACUUCAUUUAAUAUACAUUGUUGAUCCAUUAUCUAAUAGCAUAAGCUCUAGGAUUAAGUGGUUAUUAACAUUUACUAAGGUUGGAAUUCCUAUCUUAUCUUGGUAAGGUAGAUGACUUCUCUCAAUUUAUGGGGCUAGGGGAAGCACCCUACAACUAAGGUAAAUGGUUUCUCAACUCCCAAAAUUGCUAAGUUAAUUUAUUAAUGCAAGAAACGCUUCCCCUUCUACCAACAGGUUAAGAGGAUAUUUCCUUCACUUACUCUGCUUCUUGUUUCCAUGUUUGGGCUAUAAGGUAAAUGUGGGGUGCUAAUCCCUUCCAAUUUUGUUUCCAUGUAUUAAUAUUGUUGGAGUCUAUAGUUGCAAACUAGAAGAAUAUAGUUGGAGGAAUGGGACAUGCUUUUGUAGAUGGUGUCUCAAACUCAAUUCCCAUGCUUCAACUUUUUGAGUUUAAUUUGUAGUUUAAAAUAGUGUUGAAUCCUUGGCUUUUGAGGAGUCUUAGGUUUGAACCUCACCACUUAUUUAUUCUCUUUGUAUUCAAUACAUAUGUGAGAGGAUGUCUUAAGGCAAUUAUCAUAAGUAUUAAUCGGCCUAACGUACAUUGUUAAUCUACUAAUUAAUAGCAUAAGCUGCUGGACUGCAACCAACAUUUCCUAAAGUUAGAAUUCCUAUCUUAUUUUGGUAAGAUAGAUGACUUCUUCUCUCAAUUUACAAGGCCUUGAUGCACUCUACAACUAAGGCAAAUGGCUUCCUGAGUUCCAAAUUGCUAAGUUAAUUCACUGAUGCAAGAAAAACUUCUCCUUAUACCAACAGGUUAACAUAGGGUGUUAAUCCCUUCCAAUUUUAUUUCCAUGCAUUGAAAAGAAAAAAAAAAUCAACUUUGUUCUACCCUAUGGGUUUGGUGUAACUCUGUAAGGUAGUUGGAUGCAUAGCAUGCUAGUAUCAUAGAUACACCUAGCAAUUUCUUGUAUCCUUUUUCUUGGUCAUCACCUUGCUAAUUUAUGUAGAAGUGGUCAAAUGGCCACAAACUAAAAUUACCUUUCUCUCUCUCUCUCUCUCAUGCACAUAAAUACACAUCAUUUUUUGCUCAGUCUUUGUGAACUAUAGUUCCCUCAUUAUUAGAAUUCUGUUAAUUCCUCAUAUUAGUUUGAAAUUUUAUUUUUUUGAUUUAUUUAUUUAUUUAUUUUUAUCUUUGUAUUGGAAGAUGUAAGAUAUGUUGGAUAUUUAUAUUUUUGUAACUUCAAUAGUUCUUUUUUUUUUUCUGCAGCAAGAAGAAAGCUUAAGCUUAAGGUUCAUGUUGUAUAUAUAUGCUUUACAUAGUUUGAUUGUACACCAAGUGUUUGUUUGCUUCGGUUUGUAGUCUAUGAUAUAGGUUUCAUACUUAGUCGCCUACCAUUUAUUUAUUUUUAUUGCAAUUGUCAUAAUUACCAUAUAUUCUUUUUGUUUUCUGCUUUGUAAAUUGAUUUUUGAGAUUGACAUCUCAUUUUAAAAUGUACUUUUAUAAUAUGCUGUGUUUAUUACAUAUUCAGACUGAGGUCAAUGGUGUGUUCCUUUUUUCUGCAAUGUGCUCUCUUUAAAGUUAGUGAAUUUGUUGCAGUCUGAACAUAAUUUAACCCAUAGGACAUGUAUUGCAGAAAACACCUACAUUCCACAGUUUAUUGAAAUGAUAGAAAAACAUUACCUGUGCAGAGCACUUCAAGAGGUCACUGUAGCUACAAUUUUGAGCUGAUAACAUCAAACGUGCAGCCCUUAAAUGCAGCUUCUUUGUUGCCUGGUGAAUUUUGCUCAUAUAUACUGCUUUGCGUUUACCUUCUAUGCGUGCCAUGGUUACUAUCACAAUAUCCAAUAGCAACAUGCCAUGUUCUCACUUUUCAACCUUCCUUCAUGGUUUUGAUCUACUACUUCACUAUGAUUAAGUUUACCACAAAUCUGACAAGUUAUGUUACCUGAAGAAUUUGAAUUGCUACUGCUCUUAUGAUUUUAAUCAGCUUGCUUCCCAAAAUUAAUUCUAUGAAUCUUGAUUAUAACACAGGUAGUUGCCAUUUCGCUAAUUUGAAGCUACCCAUUGAUCAUUUUGACUAGGAUUAUUGUUGAGAAAUAAAGGUUGUUGGAUAUUGGCUCAAAACAAUGAUCAAUUAGUCAAUCGAUGAUGAAGUCAAUUGCAAUGUUGAUGUAUAUAACUUGACAUGUAAAAGAGAAAUAAAAAAUAAAAAAAUUGUACAAUUACAGUUCAAUGGCAAGAAAUGAUAUGGUCCUUCAAUGGAUGUGGGGGACUUUUCAGAUCA